GUAUUACUUUAAAUUCAAAUUCCCUUAUAUAGUUUUGCAAAGCUGAUCAUAAAGAUUUUAAGAGCCUUUCAAUCGAAUCAAUAAUUAUUAAGUCGUUCGUUAAAGACGCUAUUCACAUCAAUCACAAUUUCAAACUUGGAACGUGCAAUAUAAAACCUUAAAUGGAACCCGCUUGACACUUUGCUCGAGUUUUAUUACCCGACUUUGGGACGCCCAAAAAUAAUUUAUUUAUGCUUUUGACCGCAUAAAUAAAUGCCAAGCAAAUCAUAGAUCGUAGUUCCGCAUAAAAAACAACCAGAAACUAUACCUGCAGCACAUUAAGGAGCCAUAAAAAUUGGGGAAGCUCUUAUUUUUUAAUGGAUUGUGGAUCAGCGAACACAAAUAUUUUAGUAAUGCCCCGAAACUAGAUUCUUGUUUGUGGAAAAUCAAUUAAAAAACUAUUCCAAUCGAGUGGCUAAUUAAAAAAUGGAAUUCCGAAGAAUAGAGUCAUUUGAUGCACUUUUAACUGUGGUUUAAUGGCAAAACUCGAUGGUGUCAUAAAAUUAGAGCAAUAUGCGUGGGGUAGGAUAUUCAAUCCUGUUUUUGUAACAAUCGCGUGUCCCACGCGAAAUUCAAAAAGAAUCAAACAAAUGAGCCGAGAGCCCUCGAGCAAUAACAAUUCCUCCCCAACUCCAUUCAAUCCUUGUUGACUUUUCCUGUCACAGGGAUGGACACAUAAUUGCACAAUGAUUGAGUCCAGAUGUACAGUGAAAACAAAAAUAUGCGACCUGAAUAAAGGAGUCAUUAAUGGGAAAACUAUUAUGAAGUUGUGCAACUCCAGGGACACUUUCUCUUAGCAACCAGCAACUUUCAUAGAUCGAAAAUGCCUGCAAACCCGACUGUCAAAACAGGCAAACAAAUUGUGCAAAUAAGUCGGGGAAAUGUUAUUUAUGCCCGUAAGAUUUUCCGUGAUUAAAUAACUAAGGCCCGGGCCAGUCGCCUCGCCGCUUGUUUUGCAGAAUGACAGCAGUUGCAACUUAGCCGAGCUCCAAAUGUGUCAGCAUCGGUUGCAUAUUAAUGGCCCGGAGGUGUGCAUGCCAAUUGUCAUGCGCUGAAAUGCUUGUUAACAACGUCGAUUGCUUUUGGCCAAGUCAGUCGUCUAUAUAUCCCCAGUCGCCGCACCAGCACCAGCCCCAGCCAGAAAGCAAAUCCAACUCCACAUCCACUUCCAAAUCCGAGCUAAAGCCAAAGCCAAAUCCAACUGAACCUCCUGCUCUCCCACUUUUUCCUCUUUUUAAUCAAAAAGAAGUCGAUGCUCCUGACUCCAGACUCCUCCCCCGUGGCAAUAACGCCACACAUUUGUAAUGUUGCUUCUGUUUUUGGCUGAAAGAGGAGCCCAGGAAGCAGCAGAGACAGUAGAGGAACUGCACCGAAUGCUCACACUGAGAAAUAUAAUCUGGCAGUCGAAAAAUAAAAUUUAAAGUUAAUUGAAAGUAGAUAAAAUGGUAGAAUUAAAAUCCAAUAUC
rnacentral:sRNA from 13 species